GGGGAUAUAGCUCAGUUGGUAGAGUGUUUGCCUCACAUGCAUAGUCCCUGGGUUCGAUCCCCCCAGCACCACCA
rnacentral:tRNA from 1 species